rnacentral:rRNA from 1 species
UUAGGAAUCUUCCACAAUGGGGGCAACCCUGAUGGAGCAACACCGCGUGCUGGAUGAAGGCCUUCGGGUCGUAAACAGCUUUUGUAUACGAAGAAUAUGACGGUACCUUAGGAACAAGUCCCGGCUAACUACGUGCCAGCAGCCGCGGUAAUACGUAGGGGGCGAGCGUUAUCCGGAAUUAUUGGGCGUAAAGAGUACGUAGGUGGUUUCCUAAGCAUGGGGUUUAAGGCAAUGGCUCAACUGUUGUUCGCCCUAUGAACUGGGUUACUUGAGUGCUGGAGGGGAAAGCGGAAUUCCUAGUGUAGCGGUGAAAUGCGUAGAUAUUAGGAGGAACACCAGUGGCGAAGGCGGCUUUCUGGACAGUAACUGACACUGAGGUACGAAAGUGUGGGGAGCAAACA